GGAGGGGGCCAGCGUUGUUCGGAAUUAUUAGGCGUAAAGGGCGCGUAGGCGGCCUGGUAAGUCGGGCGUGAAAUCCCGCGGCUCAACCGCGGAACUGCGCUCGAAACUGCCGGGCCUGAGUCCCGGAGAGGGUAGCGGAAUUCCCAGUGUAGCGGUGAAAUGCGUAGAUAUUGGGAGGAACACCAGUGGCGAAGGCGGCUACCUGGACGGGUACUGACGCUGAGGCGCGAAAGCGUGGGGAGCAAACAGGAUUAGAUACCCUGGGUAGUCCACGCUGUAAACGAUGGGCACUUGGUGUUGCGGGUAUCGACCCCCCCUGCAGUGCCGAAGCUAACGCAUUAAGUGCCCCCGCCUGGGGAGUACGGUCGCAAGGCUG
rnacentral:rRNA from 1 species